AUCCUUUGGUUCAUAAGUGUGGUGACUGGGUAUUCAUGUCAUAUGCAUGAGAUGUGCCUCCCUCACACCUUGUUACAAUGUGGGCAUGUUAUCAGAAG